GAUGGCGGCGUGCUAUAAUGUAGGUCGAACGAGGUGCCUUUGUAGCAAUACGAGGGUAUCCUAGUGGCGAACGGGUGAGUAACGCGUUGGUGACCUGCCCCAAAGUGUGGGAUACCAGUUCGAAAGGACUGCUAAUACCGCAUGUGGUCAUCGGGUUCAGAAACCGAUGUCGAAAGCAGCAAUGCGCUUUGGGAGGGACCUGCGUCCCAUCAGCUAGUUGGUAGGGUAACGGCCUACCAAGGCGACGACGGGUAGGGGACCUGAGAGGGUGGCCCCCCACAAUGGAACUGAAAUACGGUCCAUACACCUACGGGUGGCAGCAGUAGGGAAUAUUGCACAAUGGGCGAAAGCCUGAUGCAGCAACGCCGCGUGCACGAUGAAGGCCUUCGGGUCGUAAAGUGCUUUUCUGGGAGAUGAGAAAGGACAGUAUCCCAGGAAUAAGUCUCGGCUAACUACGUGCCAGCAGCCGCGGUAAAACGUAGGAGGCAAGCGUUAUCCGGAUUCACUGGGCGUAAAGCGUGUGCAGGCGGUUCGGUAAGUUGGGCGUGAAAGCUCCCGGCUUAACUGGGAGAGGUCGUUCAAUACUACCGGACUAGAGAGCAGUAGAGGAAGAUGGAAUUCCCGGUGUAGUGGUGAAAUGCGUAGAUAUCGGGAGGAACACCAGUGGCGAAGGCGAUCUUCUGGACUGUGUCUGACGCUCAUACACGAAAGCUAGGGUAGUAAACGGGAUUAGAGACCCCGGUAAUCCUAGCUGUAAACGAUGUGAACUUGGCGUUGGUGGCUUAAACACCAUCAGUGCCGAAGCAAACGCGAUAAGUUCACCGC
rnacentral:rRNA from 1 species